UGUAUUGUUAUCCAUCUCGGCUCUCGGCGGUAUAUUAUGUAAUCUGAUCUGUUCCUUUAUCAUGUAUACACUAUUUUCUUAUUUCUAUGGCCUUGUUCACACACUGAUUCAAAAGUCGUAACUUGUAACUAUUAUAAUAUAUAUAGUAAAUUAUUAUUAUAUAGUAACUUGUAACCUUGUAAAAUUGUAACGAAAAAUUUAAGGAAAUAUGAAAUAGAUUACACGCUCAGUCGGUCCUGUGUAUCGUUAUGUCAAUGUUGAAGAUAAGAAUUAAAAUUCAAAAGAUGAAACAUUAAAUUUGCCAUUUGUGAACGUACGAUUUUUGAUAGCGUAUUGUUGCUAGUUGUGUGUUAGUACUUUAUAACUUGUGUUCGGUAUGGUGCCUAACUUUUAAUUAAAAUAUUUGGUCGUUAAUGAGAGUGUUUAUAUUUUACACUACUGCAUUUAACAAGAAUCUUUCGAUGAACCAAUUAAUAAUUUUUGUUUGAAGGAGGUUUUUUAUUGUGGUUUAUAGUUUUCAAAAAUUAAUCAGUCGAAUUUGUAAAUUGCACAGCAUAAAAUUAAAAUGGAGAGCUUAAAUGAUAAUGCACAACACAAAACGGCGGAUAACAAAUAUACGUUUGAUUUUGAACAAGUCAAUUGGAGUAACAUAAAAAUUAAUCAUUCAAAUAUUAUGACAAGAAAUGCAUCAAAGCAAAUCGAAAAAGAACGAGAAAACAUAGAAAAAGAUUUAAAGUUAUUACAAGCUAUUGAAGAAGAGAAAUCAAGGCUAGAAAAUUCAAUGGUAUCAUUCAUACAGUUGAAAAAUGAACUCGAAGAAAAACUUAAGAAGUCAUCGAGUCAUUAAAAACACUGUCCAAUAUACUUAAAAUAUACAAUCUAGUAAAUAUGAAA